AAAAAAUUAGUUAAACCCAAAUAACAUUAGUAUGUCAAACUAAAAUUAUCAAACUAUUUGAUAUUUUUUG
rnacentral:tRNA from 1 species